rnacentral:rRNA from 1 species
GACGAACGCUGGCGGCGUGCCUAAUACAUGCAAGUCGAACGCAGUUGCGAACGGGUGAGUAACGCGUAGGUAACUGCCUCCUCUCUGGGGAUAACUAUUGGAAACGAUAGCUAAUACCGCCUACUGUGAGAUGGACCUGCGUUGUAUUAGCUAGUUGGUGAGGUAAAGGCUCACCAAGGCGACGAUACAUAGCCGACCUGAGAGGGUGAUCGGCCACACUGGGACUGGGACACGGACAAGACGCCUACGGGAGGCAGAAGUAGGGAAGAGUCGGAAAUGGAAGGAAGUGUGAGCGAGAAACGCCGAGGGAGUGAAGAGGGUUUUCGGUUCGUAAAGCUCUGUUGUUAGAGAAGAGGUAACUAACCAGAAAGGGACGGCUAACUACGUGCCAGCAGCCGCGGUAAUUC